AUAGGCAUUUUAAAAUCCAACCUAAAAAUAUAAGCUAGUAAGUAGAAGAGCUCAUGAAUAUAUAAGUGUUGUGGUAUAGAAGGAAGGACAUCAUUAGCCCUACAAUGAUUGUAAGUCAAGAAAAAUUCUGACUUAUACAAGAAAGGUUCAUCUUUUCCACAUGAAGCACCUUUUAAAGAAAAAAAUUAUAAAGCCCAUGGAUUAGAACGGACAAUACCUUACGUAUUAAACUAUGAGCCUUCGAUCGCAAUAAUAGCACGCC
rnacentral:lncRNA from 1 species